GGAGAAGCUGCAUUGUUGCUUUCCUUGUUUUUCCAGGAAGUGCGAGACACCCGCCGAAGCAUGGAUACCUUUAGAAUGUUCUCAAGAACUUGGAAAGCUCAGUGGAGGACGCUUCUCAUUGGAUUAUUCGUUCUGUGUUCUCUUGGAAGAGCAAAAACGAUCGAACAACCUAUGUCAGCAACAGCCUUGGAGAGAAACCCAUAUCACCUUCGCUGCAAUCUUUCUUCUGUUACUUCAGAAAUGAUCCAAUGGUAUCAGCAAGUUUCUGGGCAGACACCAAGGUACCUUGGUGGGGCCUACCCAAAGUAUGAAGAUGAAAUUGAAAAUCCAAAGGGAAAAUUGUAUUUUUUUGAAGACAAGACAUUCAGCACACUCGUGAUCGAUGCAGUCACCCUAGCAGAUGCUGCUGUCUACUUCUGCGCUCUGAGAGACACACAGUGUCUCACGGACGGAUCCGUUGCCUUCAUGAACCUCCUUCAGAGACUGAACAGAGGAGGAGCUGUUGCAAAGUGAGACGGAGCAGAUGAAGUGCAGAAGAAUAUCAGAAGGGGCUAAGCCAUCCCUUUGUGAUGUGAUCCGAUACAGUUGUGGCGGGCCAGAUUACAACACUAAAUUUCCCCUUGGGUUGACUGCUUCACCUGGUGUUUCCACAGACACAUUGCUGUGGUUUUCCUGCCAGUUAUGUGAAAGGGUUUUGCUGUGGUUUUCUUUCUGCAUUGUGUUGUGUUUCCCUGAAAAUAAAACAUCCCCUGAUAAUAAGCCAAAUCGGGCUUUUGAGUGCCUGUGCUAAAAUAUCCCCCCUCCGGAAAAUAAGCCCUCCUCAAAAAUAAGCCCUCUCUGAAAAUAAGCUGUCCCUGAAAAUAAGC